CGAGAGUCCAGUGCGGGACACCUGGCGAUUUCUGAGCCCCACACUGCUUUUAUCACCCAAAUAACCGCCUUCACAUAUGAUUAUUGUUUAAAGGGUUAAUUAUUGGGGCUUCUUGGCAUCAGGUAUGGGUCAGAAGCCGGUAAAUGCGCGGCUCUGAGUACGAUAAUCUAGCAUCGGUGCGCGGUAAAAAAUCAUAACACAGCUGAUCGUCCACGCAGUUCCUCCUUCACGACGUGUUUUGAGAGGUGUUUGCAGUGUUUUUGGCGAAACCGUGCGCUGAAUGGAUGACUUUUUAAUGCUGGAGGUCCACUCCCUGACGCCCCGCCCUGCACGUCACGACCUGCCCCGGCAUCAGUUGCUACUCUUCCUCGCACUCGGUCUCCUCGCUUUGCGCAGUGCCAGCCGCACGAGCAGCCUCCCGCCCCGGGCCUCCACCACCUGUGGCUUCGCGACGGGCGGCCUCGUGAGCACAGCACAUGGCCCUCAGGGCGUCGACACUGCCGAUUGAGUCACACGCCUGGUACACUUGUUGCCUCAGUGUCACAUCACGGAGGACUCCCAUUAUCUUCUUAAGCGACAAGUACUCCAACAAAUCUGUGCUACGCUGUGGGCACUUAAAGGCACAGUCUGUCGC